AGGACAGAGGGAGGAGGGGAAAAUGAAAAGGAAAAAAAAAAAAAACAACAACCGAGAGAGAGAGACAAGCAGAAAGGUGGAAGAAAAAGGGAAAAAAAACACUUAAAGGCGGGAGAGAAAGCUAGCGCCCGUUAUCAUAACGGGCUUAAAAAUACUAGUCUAUUAUAUUAAUUCUCCUGGGUGUGCCUUGGAAUGUGCAUCCCAGAGCCCAGCUGAUUGGCUGGGCGGUGGAUGCACCUGAUUGGCUGAGGCGCACCCAGGAGGAUUGGUUGCUGUGGCAGCAGCCCAGCCGUGGAGGCCAGAGGUGGCGGGCCCGGCCCGGCUGCAGAGGCAAGGCCCAGGAAUGGGAAAAGAAAGUGGCAGGGGGGGAGAAGUGGCAGUGGGGAGGAGAGGUGGCUGGGCCCGGAAGCAGAAACUGGGGCAGAAGUGGGGGAAGAGGUAAGCGCUGGCCCCAAAGAGCGCAUAGAUGCUCUGUGCGGGGUCGGCUAGUAUUAAUAAUUUGUGUUUUCUUUCGUAGGGUUUUUUUGGGGGGGGGUCUUGUUUAUUAAAUUAAAAAUGUAUCAAUACAAAUGUGCACGCACACACUGACUCCCUGUACCUCAAAAUACAUUUCUGGUUUUCCUUCCCUCAUAUUUUAACCAUAUCUAGCCCUAAAUAUAUGUACUUCCAAUUAUGGCCCAUCUCUUUCUUCUGUCACCCUGAGAGCAAGUAUAGCCAAGCCCAUCUACUUGGAUCAUAGCACAACCUCUAAUAAAAACAGGCCCCUUUUGCUGUAUCUGUUUCCUUCUGGGCAUAGAAUGGAAACUUCCCAAACCUUCUAGGGAAGAGACAGUGACAAGUAUGUAUAGUGAAGUAUGUAUGAGGUUGAAGACAAAGUCCUGGACUUAGCUGCAAUCUCGAUCCCUGUAUGGGAUCAAAAUGUUUGGAAGAGGAUGUGGAGCUGCAUCCAUGCACAAGAGGAGGUGACAGCUGGCCCAUGUUGCACAACAUUUGAAGUGGAGGUCUCCAUAUGGGUAGGCCUCUACAUGAUCAGAACAGAAAGAAGAGGGCCCUGGCUUUUGGAUAACAGGGAGCAAGAAAAGAAAAGAGAGGAGUGUGCCACUUGAAUGGUUCCCCACUGGGACAAACUUCUAAACAACUAAACAUAAAAGAUACUGGAUAGAAUACAACACCGAGGAAAAACCAUCAAAGCAACACUUCCAGCCAUAUCCAAGAAGGAAAAAUGCAAGCUAGCAAAAAGUGCAAGGAAGAGCAGCUAUAGUGUUUGCAAAUAAAUAGUGUUUAUGAGAAGAGGCUGAAAGACCUGUCU